rnacentral:rRNA from 1 species
CAGGCCUAACACAUGCAAGUCGAGCGGUAGAGAGAAGCUUGCUUCUCUUGAGAGCGGCGGACGGGUGAGUAAUGCCUAGGAAUCUGCCUGGUAGUGGGGGAUAACGUUCGGAAACGGACGCUAAUACCGCAUACGUCCUACGGGAGAAAGCAGGGGACCUUCGGGCCUUGCGCUAUCAGAUGAGCCUAGGUCGGAUUAGCUAGUUGGUGAGGUAAUGGCUCACCAAGGCGACGAUCCGUAACUGGUCUGAGAGGAUGAUCAGUCACACUGGAACUGAGACACGGUCCAGACUCCUACGGGAGGCAGCAGUGGGGAAUAUUGGACAAUGGGCGAAAGCCUGAUCCAGCCAUGCCGCGUGUGUGAAGAAGGUCUUCGGAUUGUAAAGCACUUUAAGUUGGGAGGAAGGGCAGUUACCUAAUACGUGAUUGUUUUGACGUUACCGACAGAAUAAGCACCGGCUAACUCUGUGCCAGCAGCCGCGGUAAUACAGAGGGUGCAAGCGUUAAUCGGAAUUACUGGGCGUAAAGCGCGCGUAGGUGGUUAGUUAAGUUGGAUGUGAAAUCCCCGGGCUCAACCUGGGAACUGCAUUCAAAACUGACUGACUAGAGUAUGGUAGAGGGUGGUGGAAUUUCCCUGUGUAGCGGUGAAAUGCGUAGAUAUAGGAAGGAACCACCCAGUGGCGAAGGCGACCCUCCUGGA